rnacentral:rRNA from 1 species
CCCGAAACCAGGUGAUCUACCCUUGGUCAGGUUGAAGUUCAGGUAACACUGAAUGGAGGACCGAACCGACUUACGUUGAAAAGUGAGCGGAUGAACUGAGGGUAGCGGAGAAAUUCCAAUCGAACCUGGAGAUAGCUGGUUCUCUCCGAAAUAGCUUUAGGGCUAGCCUCAAGUGAUGAUUAUUGGAGGUAGAGCACUGUUUGGACGAGGGGCCCCUCUCGGGUUACCGAAUUCAGACAAACUCCGAAUGCCAAUUAAUUUAACUUGGGAGUCAGAACAUGGGUGAUAAGGUCCGUGUUCGAAAGGGAAACAGCCCAGACCACCAGCUAAGGUCCCAAAAUAUAUGUUAAGUGGAAAAGGAUGUGGCGUUGCCCAGACAACUAGGAUGUUGGCUUAGAAGCAGCCAUCAUUUAAAGAGUGCGUAAUAGCUCACUAGUCGAGUGACACUGCGCCGAAAAUGUACCGGGGCUAAACAUAUUACCGAAGCUGUGGAUUGUCCUUUGGACAAUGGUAGGAGAGCGUUCUAAGGGCGUUGAAGCAUGAUCGUAAGGACAUGUGGAGCGCUUAGAAGUGAGAAUGCCGGUGUGAGUAGCGAAAGACGGGUGAGAAUCCCGUCCACCGAUUGACUAAGGUUUCCAGAGGAAGGCUCGUCCGCUCUGGGUUAGUCGGGUCCUAAGCUGAGGCCGACAGGCGUAGGCGAUGGAUAACAGGUUGAUAUUCCUGUACCACCUAUA